GCGGUCUGAAACGAAGAGAGAAGCCUCAAGAUGACACAGCCACAGUAACGUCACUGCCUGCCUCGGCAGUAAUAAACAUCUACCCCCGCCGGAAUAAUUUGGCAGCACAGAGGCAAAACUAUUUCAGAGAAGCAGAGGUCGGACGAUGGUUUCUGAAGUGGCUGGCAGGAGAUCGGUUUAGAAUCAUCUCCCUCACCUCUCAUCAGGCAUGUCCCCCUCCCUGGGAGGCUCUCUAAAUCAACAGGGCCAGGACACAGAUUUAGAACCUGGCACCCUUACACAUUUAGAACCACCAGUCCAAUGUAAACAGAAUCAGGGCGUUGGAAUUCUCAACUAUCUACAGAAUUACUGACUUCUACAUCCAGAUGACAGGCUGAGCCCCAAGGAUCUACUCUUGACAACCGACUCUAAUACACAAGACAAGUGAGCCAAGCAAGAUCCUCAGGGGCUGUCGAAAUGAAAUAGCACAUAAUUGCCAAGUCAGGCGGAAGUCUCACCUGUGGCCAUCAGCCACGGAAUCACCUGGCAAUUCUAUUUCCUGGCUGCAACAGCAGAGACAUACUACCAAAGGCCCUUCCCUCUCCCUGUGCCCGCUUCACAAGAGAUGACUAGCUGUUGUGUGUAUAAAAUCAGAAAGCAGAUGAAAGACUGCCCUAACAUUAUGUUGAAUUCAUGGCUACUUUAAGGAAAAAUAUUACCUACUCUCUUUUUGAAAAAUGCUUGUGAAAUUUAAAGUAUCUAGUUUCGUUCUUUUUUUUAAUUGUUCUUUUUUACCCACUUCUCCUCUAGGAAAGAAUAAAUGGAACAUUUUAGCCUCAGCAGAAAAAAAAAUGCUCUGAGUUAUCAGAAAGAAUGAACUUUCUGUUUGUUGUUCUUUAAACAAACAACAAAAUCCAUCCAUGGAAGAGACAACUUCGCUUGGGAAUGGACGUGUAACUACAGGGUAGGACACUUCCUCCUGAGACAGAAGGACCCACCCACAGUUGGCAAUGAUGAGAGAGCUCCAUCACAGCCUCUGGCAACCAUUAGGGAGGCUUGGGAAGAUCCCAAGCAGAAGAGGAGAGGUGUUUCAGAGUCCAAGGAACUGUCCUGCCCUCUCAUCUCAGAAAACCCAUUUUCAACCCUUACACAAACAUCCAUCCAUCCACAUCACCCAACCAUCCCAUCACAGACAGAAGAGGAAAAGACGUGGGUACACUCAGAAAAGAAGGUAUGUGAAGAUAGAGGCAGAGGUUGGAGUGAUGCAGUCACCAGCAAAGGAACAUGUCGAGUCACCAAACCUGGAAGAGGCAAGGAAGGAUUCUCCCCUAGUGCCUUCAGAGGGGACAUGACCGCCCACACCUUGAUUUCAGGCUUCAGGCUUCUAGAAAUAGAUUAAUGGACUCCUUGAAGGCCAGACAGGAUAAACGCUUGGGUCAGUCUACAUGACGUAUACACCAGUCUCAAGUUUAGCAGAGCACGAUGGAACCAAACGACCUAAAGCACAAAUCCGGAGACCCUGGCCCAAACACCCCACUUCCUCAUCUCCAGUAUGGGGAUAAUACCCAUCACAGGAUGGGUAUUACACAAACAGGGUAUUACACAUUACACAGGGUAUUACAGUAAACAGUUUAUCAGCAAGUA